AUUGUUAAAUAAAUAUUAAUGUCUGAGAGCAUAAUAAAAGAUUCUUGAUCACAAGAAAUAAUAGGAUAUCAAUCCUAUUAUAUAGUCUUUAAAUUUGUCAGAAUACACUGCAAGUUCUCUUGCGACCAAAAGUGUAUCAAGUAUAUUGGCAUUAUUUUUUACAAAUAGGUAAACCCAAUAUUUUCAUUUUAUUGGAGAUUCUGAGCGUAGCAAGGGAGCUAUUGGUUUUACUAAGAUGUUUAUUUCUUUUUUUUUUUCUAGUCUGUAGACACAUUUUUUCCUAGUAAACUUGCUCCAAUUUUUACGUGUAUCAACUUUUCUGAAAGCUCAAGUUAUCUAGAUGGUACUUAGAGAUGUCAUUUUUUAAUUUUCUAUGCCUUUUUUUAAAUUAAAGCGCUUAAGUGGGAAAAAACUUACAAUUUUUGAAAAAUCACAAGAUAUCUUUUUUGUUGCAUUUUUCAUUUACUUUCUUACAGUAUCAUCGCAAAAACUUUUGAGUUUUUAAGGACUUUUAAUUUUUGUGAAUUUUUUUCAUUGUUAUUCGGUUAUAAAUACACUUGAAACUUGAUAAUAAUACUUAUAUUAAACUUACCUAGACGUGGUAAAAUUUCCAAAAUCAUCUGACGACUUUUUUAUUUUAAUAAGCAUUUUGAAUUUAAAUGGAAAUUGCAAAAAAAAAAUUAUGGUACUUCAAAUUAUGUAUUACCUAAGUGCGCUCGGAAUCAUCUUUCAUCGAGCAAUGGUUUAUCUUUGCUUACAGAUAUAAAUGAAAUAACCUGAUGUGUCCUACCUUCCUAACUUCUCACCUACAACAGUAGCCACUCCCAUCCCCAUUAUCAGCUCAUCAUGUUGUUUCCUAAUAAGAACAUUAGCAUAGCUUCAGAACUUGACAUAAUAAUUUAAAUAUUAUAUUAUAAUAAAUACUUACUAUAUUACAAAUAUUAUUUUGUUGUAUGAAAUAAUAAUGCAAUAUCCUAAUAAUUAAUAAUGCAUGCACACUGCACUACAUUAGUGUGCUUUUUGUCAAAAUUGUGAUGUCGUUUUUUUUUUUUACAUUCACACCGCCUUACAUUGAUGGGCACCAAACCUAAACCUUAUAUUAAAAAUGCCAAGGUGAUAAACAUACAAAUAUAAUAUAUAGUAAACUUUGUUUGAAUAAUUAGAUAGGAUAAUCCAGUUCAAUUAAGGUCAAUACAAAAUAUUUAAUUUAUGAUAUCUAGAGCUAACAAACAGGUCUUAGGUGCAGAAACCACUGUGUAAAAUAGGAAUGACACGCUUAUAUGUUUAAUCAAUGGGUAUAGAUUGGUUGGUAGUAAUGCUGUACAUUAUUAUUAGCUUUACUUAUAGUUAUUUAUCAAUGGUUUUAUAUUUUCUAGUUUUAUAAAUAAAGAUAUGUAAAUCUGCUCUUGGUACUAAUGGUUUGUAAAAAUAAACUAUCUUUAUUCUAUUUAUGUAAAACAAUAUUUA